CUCGCACGGCACCGCCCGGUCCUGUCCUGUCCUGUCCUGUCCAGACGACCCGUGCGGCAGCCUGGAGAGCAGCUCAAAGUCCAGGCCGACGCGGCUUUCCGACCGCAGACGGAGUCGGGGCUUCAGCCGAGGGUGGCUGCCGCCCGUGAGCACGCGCGAACACGCGUGUGUGUGGGACGUGUGCGUGGUGCUGUGCGGAGCCGCGGCUCGGCUACCCUCUGCCCGCGUGUGGUCCGAGCCCGUGGCGCAGGUGUUCACCGGCCCUUGUCUCGUCUGCCAGCCUCGCCACAUGGUCCGAGCUCCGCCCGCGGCCUCGGGUGACCUUCCUGUCCCCGGGCGGCUGGAGCGGGGUGCACUGGGUGGGACGGUGGUACAGGGCGCGGAGUGUCGGUGAGCAGCGUGUGCAGAGCCCAGGGAAGGCCUUCCCCAGCCAUGCUGUCCCCGGGAGGUGGGUGCGGGCUGACUCCCGCAGGUCCCGCAAGGGUGGGACGCAGGGGUGUCCCAGCGAGGGGCCCUGGCGGGCUGCAGGCCGAGCAGCGUCCUGCACGGGAAAGCUGGAUGACCACCCCCCCCCCAGCACGCAGGCAGCUCUGAGCCCUGCUCCGGCGCUGCGCCUGUGGUCCUGGGCUCGCGGGCCCUGACUCUGGUACCCCGGUCCCCAGCACAGGGCCCAGAAGGAAAAGAAGGAAGCGCCCUUCCCUGCAGCGCUUCAUCCUGCCGGACGGGGGAUUCUGCCGGUUCUGCAGGAGUGAGGACCGUCUUCCCCUCAUUAAGUGCUGCAGGGACCCUGUCGGGGUUACGUGCAGCUGGGCCUCGCAGAGACUAGUGUUUGUAGCGUGACAGGUUUCAUUCGAGUUGAACUGUGUUGAGAGCAGAUGCUCGCAGGUGGUCAUUCCGGUCACACCAGCGCACGGCUGUGACACGGGCGGGUUUUCCUGCUCACUACUGCUGGCCCUCGGGACAGACUUUGUCUGUGCCCGGCUGCCCCGGGCACUGGAGGGUGCCGCAUCCUUGGCCCUCUCCCCCGGGGUGCCAGGAGCACCCUCAUCCUGGGCGUGACAACCAGAUCUCCAGACGUGGCCAAGGGCUCCCAGGGCACGCUCCCCCACAGGAGCUGAUACUUCCCAUCCGCACACAGGGUUCGUGGAGAACUGAAGCCCUGGGCGGGGGACCCUGUUUCUGUCCUGCUUUGCUCUCAGUCUGCUACGAGGGCCGGUCCGUAGUAGGCACUGAGCAAAUGCGUGUGCACUCACGUGGUAGCGACAGGACAAGGCCUUUCGUUCUCUCCACCUGGUUGAGGCAGGCUUCUGUCCGGCGAAGGCCACGGCUUCGUUCUAAAGAGUUGGCCGACAGGUCCUGUCCAUGGGAAUGCAGCCCCGUCCUGCGUGGGGGAGAAGUUGGAUACUGCACUGGUCCAGGACAUGCACACAAACACACUGCACACACCUUACUUCUUUUCAGUUGUUUUCUCCUCGACAGGUAAGUGUGAGGUCUUUACUUGCCCUGUGACUGCCUGGCUCUGCAAAUAUUUGGUGGUGUCCUGUACGCGGGGAAGUGACUCUCAAAGAGUGUCCGGAUGAGCCCACGUGUCUAGCCGGAUGCAGCAGUGAACAGCAAACCUCGUUGCGGUCAGGAGGCAGCAGGCACACCCGUCCCCCUGUGCUCGACCACGUAUCUGUUGUCUGUGCCUUCCACUAGCCAAGCAGUUGCUUAAAUACUGUAUGGCCUGAAAAUCCCAACAGCGAGAGUUACAUUUGCUGAGAAAGUGUGUCGGCUCCUUGUUUGGGUCUUUACAGUAGUUCCUCAUCUCACCCUGGGAUUUGACUUCACGAUGACCACAACCUGCCGAAAGGGCUUCAUGGAUUUUCUAUUAUCCACACAUGAGAAGGAGCUUUGUAAAUGCUACCCGUGAGCAGACAGCAACUGAAAUAAAAGGUGCUAUUUGUAAUAGCAUGGAAACCAGGAAUGUUUAGAUACAACCUAACAAAAUUUAUACACAUUCCAUACACUUAAAAUUACACAACACUUGAAAGAAUUUGAGUAAGAUCUGCAGAUUAAUCUAUACCAUGUUUGUGGGUUAGAAUACAUGAUACGGUUAAGUCUCUCCAAACUGAUCUACAAACUCGAUGUAAUUCCAAUAAAAAUCCCAGCAAAACUGUUGUACAAA